ACGCCCUGUCCUGAGGUGUUCCCAUGGCAACGCCUCCGGUUCCCCGUCUGGCCUUGCGUAGCCCCCCUCCACCUAGGCCCCUUGGCGCCCCCACCGUGAAUCCCGCUCCCCUCGGCCCCGCUGCCGUCCCGCGGGCGGGUAACUGCCCCCGGGGGCGAAGGGGAGUGUGGGGGGGUCAGAUAGAGUCCCGCUCCCGGUCCCGCGAGAACGGCCGGUUCGUUGGGUGUUUAAUGAACGGUUGGACACAGCCAAUGAGAUGGCUCAAGAUGCGGCGGCCGCUUAGAUUCUAGGCGCGCUAGAGCCAUGUACAGCGCCGAGCACCGGGGGGGGGGCAGGUCUGUGACUGCCCCGCCUGGGUGCUACCCUCUUACACAGGCCUAUGGCGCAGUGAAUAAUAGCGACUCAUUACGAAAUGUUAAGCACAAAAAAAGACGAAUCAUGGGGGGGGGGAAGAGGUAUUGGGCAGAGCUGUGCCCGCAUUCGGUUUACAUUGGGAUUGUGGGGGGGGGUCAGAGCUUGGGGCAGCGCCUUAUAGCUUGGUUGUGUUCAUGUUGUGCUCCCCUUGUCCCAUCCAUGCAGGUAGUGACCGGGCGGACAGCGAAGAAAGGCGCUAGAGAGCUUGAGGGUCAGCAAGAGGAGAGACAGACGGCCAAGUGCAACGCAAGCGAGAUGAUGCAUGGAGGGAAAAAUGCUGGGGGAGACGCCACACACAGGAGAAGGUCCCAGUAUAACACACCCUUACAGCGAGAAGAACAGGCGUACUUGUGGCACCGAUACAGACUAACACGGCUGCUACUCUGAAACCUUACAGCGAGGCCUUAUGGUAGUUGGAGCUGGUCCCAAGCCGGUUUUCACUGACCAGAUAGCAAAAGCACGGGUCUGACCACCACCACUCAAGUGUUAACACUGCAAGGACCUUUGUCUGAAUGUGUAUAAAGGAUCUGUAAAAUGUGUGUAAGACAGUUUUUGUACUAAGGUGCAAAGCUCUCCUUUCUUCUGCAGAAUAAAGCAACUCUUCCUUA